UAUUAGGCAUAAUGAAAUAAUGAUUAAUGAUUUCAGUGUUUUCCGCACUCAAGAGGAAAGAGGUUGUAGGGAACUUAGAGACUAAACCUUGCCAGCAUACUGGAUUUCUGGUGAUGACAAUAGCAGCAGAUAGUAUGCGGCUCAGUUAAUACUAAAAACAAUUGAUUUUAGUAAUUAGUGGACUAUGAGUGUGUGUUUGGCCAUCCAGAUUUCAUAACUACAACUGAUGUUCAAUUACAAUGGAUAUUAAUCAGUCUCCGUGGACUAUACACUGUGCCUAGUUUCAUCCUCAGAGACUGAUGUGUAAGCUUAAAGUAAAGACAUCAAAUCAAAGUAUCAGCCAUCAAGAGGAAAAACAUUCAAAAUCAUAUUGUGAUACACAAGUCAAGCAAGUCUAUGACCAGCAUUUUGAUACAGGCCAAAAAAAAGCUGGAUACUUGAUUGGAAGGGUGGCACAAAAAACAUGGAUUAUCACUAGGGAAACAAGCUCGGAAUACAGUUCACUUUUAGGACAGCAAGCCAAAUACUUCUAAACUUAUUUGAAUCAUUUUUGCUGUUUAUUAUAAUUCAUCCAAUUGUCUUAUUAAAUAUAUAAAUUUAUAUAUAUACACAAUUCCUAAUAUAGAAUUUCUAAAAAUGUUUUAUUAUAAUAUUUAAAAAUGAAACAAACAUGUUCCCAGAACACAGCCACAUAAUGUCAACAUGUUCCCAGAACACAGCCACAUAAUGUCAACAUGUUCCC